rnacentral:rRNA from 1 species
GAAUUUUCCGCAAUGGGCGAAAGCCUGACGCAGCAACGCCGCGUGGAGGAUGAAGGCCCUCGGGUCGUAAACUCCUGUCAGUGGGGACGAGUGCUUCGCAAGAGGUUUGACUGUACCCGCUGAGGAAGCCACGGCUAACUCCGUGCCAGCAGCCGCGGUAAUACGGAGGUGGCAAGCGUUGUUCGGAAUUACUGGGCGUAAAGGGCGCGUAGGCGGCUUGGCAAGUCAGAUGUGAAAGCCCCGGGCUUAACUCGGGAAUUGCAUCUGAAACUGCUUUGCUUGAGUCCUGGAGGGGAUAGUGGAAUUCCCAGUGUAGCGGUGAAAUGCGUAGAUAUUGGGAGGAACACCUGCGGCGAAGGCGGCUAUCUGGACAGUGACUGACGCUGAUGCGCGAAAGCUAGGGGAGCGAAUGGGAUUAGAUACCCCAGUAGUC